AUAUUUAGGUAUAGCGUUGUGUCGUAAUAUAAGGGGGUAGAGCACUGAAUGGGCUAGGGCAUACACCAAUGUACCAAACCCUAUCAAACUCCGAAUACCUUAUAUGUAAUCACAGCAGUCAGGCGGCGAGUGAUAAAAUCCGUCGUCAAGAGGGAAACAACCCAGACUACCAGCUAAGGUCCCUAAAUCUUACUUAAGUGGAAAACGAUGUGAAGUUACUUAAACAACCAGGAGGUUGGCUUAGAAGCAGCCAUCCUUUAAAGAAAGCGUAAUAGCUCACUGGUCUAGUGAUUUUGCGCGGAAAAUAUAACGGGGCUAAAGUAAGUACCGAAGCUGUAGACUUGCACACAACUUAGAUUAUUUAAGUUUAGAAUAUGAGAAACUAAGUUAUGUUUAGUUAUAUUUUUACUGAUUUUUAUAGAGUAAAGAUAGAAAUAAAACUUAGUAAAAUCAGUAAAAAUAUUCUUAGGCUAAAGUUAAGUAGUUUAAGUUGUGUGUAAGUGGUAGGAGAGCGUUCUAUUUGCGUCGAAGGUAUACCGGUAAGGAGUGCUGGAGCGAAUAGAAGUGAGCAUGCAGGCAUGAGUAGCGAUAAUUAAUGUGAGAAUCAUUAACGCCGUAAACCCAAGGUUUCCUACGCGAUGCUCGUCAUCGUAGGGUUAGUCGGGUCCUAAGUCGAGUCCGAAAGGGGUAGACGAUGGCAAAUUGGUUAAUAUUCCAAUACCAACAUUAGUGUGCGAUGGAAGGACGCUUAGGGCUAAGGGGGCUAGCGGAUGGAAGUGCUAGUCUAAGGUCGUAGGAGGUUAUACAGGCAAAUCCGUAUAACAAUACUCCGAGAACUGAAAGGCUUUUUGAAGUCUUCGGAUGGAUAGAAGAACCCCUGAUGCCGUCGAGCCAAGAAAAGUUUCUAAGUUUAGCUAAUGUUGCCCGUACCGUAAACCGACACAGGUGGGUGGGAUGAGUAUUCUAAGGCGCGUGGAAGAACUCUCUUUAAGGAACUCUGCAAAAUAGCACCGUAUCUUCGGUAUAAGGUGUGGUUAGCUUCGUACUAGGAUUUACUCCGAAAGCGAAGAAACUUACAACAAAGAGUCCCUCCCGACUGUUUACCAAAAACACAGCACUCUGCUAACUCGUAAGAGGAUGUAUAGGGUGUGACGCCUGCCCGGUGCUCGAAGGUUAAUUGAUGGGGUUAGCAUUAGCGAAGCUCUUGAUCGAAGCCCGAGUAAACGGCGGCCGUAACUAUAACGGUCCUAAGGUAGCGAAAUUCCUUGUCGGUUAAAUACCGACCUGCAUGAAUGGCGUAACGAGAUGGGAGCUGUCUCAAAGAGGGAUCCAGUGAAAUUGUAGUGGAGGUGAAAAUUCCUCCUACCCGCGGCAAGACGGAAAGACCCCGUGGACCUUUACUACAGCUUGACACUGCUACUUGGAUAAGAAUGUGCAGGAUAGGUGGGAGGCUUUGAGUAUAUGACGCCAGUUGUAUAUGAGCCAUUGUUGAGAUACCACUCUUUCUUAUUUGGGUAGCUAACCAGCUUGAGUUAUCCUCAAGUGGGACAAUGUCUGGUGGGUAGUUUGACUGGGGCGGUCGCCUCCCAAAUAAUAACGGAGGCUUACAAAGGUUGGCUCAGAACGGUUGGAAAUCGUUCGUAGAGUAUAAAGGUAUAAGCCAGCUUAACUGCAAGACAUACAAGUCAAGCAGAGACGAAAGUCGGUCUUAGUGAUCCGGUGGUUCUGUGUGGAAGGGCCAUCGCUCAAAGGAUAAAAGGUACCCCGGGGAUAACAGGCUGAUCUCCCCCAAGAGCUCACAUCGACGGGGAGGUUUGGCACCUCGAUGUCGGCUCAUCGCAUCCUGGGGCUGGAGCAGGUCCCAAGGGUAUGGCUGUUCGCCAUUUAAAGCGGUACGCGAGCUGGGUUCAGAACGUCGUGAGACAGUUCGGUCCCUAUCUGCCGUGGGCGUAAGAAGAUUGAAGAGAUUUGACCCUAGUACGAGAGGACCGGGUUGAACAAACCACUGGUGUAGCUGUUGUUCUGCCAAGAGCAUCGCAGCGUAGCUAAGUUUGGAAAGGAUAAACGCUGAAAGCAUCUAAGCGUGAAGCCAACUCUAAGAUGAAUCUUCUCUAAGCUCUCUAGAAGACUACUAGUUUGAUAGGCUGGGUGUGUAAUGGAUGAAAGUCCUUUAGCUGACCAGUACUAAUAGAGCGUUUGGCUUAUCUUU
rnacentral:rRNA from 1 species